rnacentral:rRNA from 1 species
AGAGUUUGAUCCUGGCUCAGGAUGAACGCUGGCGGCGUGCCUAACACAUGCAAGUCGAGCGAUCUUCUUCGGAAGAGAGCGGCGGACGGGUGAGUAACGCGUGGGUAACCUGCCCCAUACACAUGGAUAACAUACCGAAAGGUAUGCUAAUACAAGAUGAUAUAAGAGAUUCGCAUGGAUUCUUAUCAAAGCUCCGGCGGUAUGAGAUGGACCCGCGUCUGAUUAGCUAGUUGGUAAGGUAAUGGGCUUACCAAGGCGACGAUCAGUAGCCGACCUGAGAGGGUGAUCGGCCACAUUGGAACUGAGACACGGUCCAAACUCCUACGGGAGGCAGCAGUGGGGAAUAUUGCACAAUGGGCGAAAGCCUGAUGCAGCAACGCCGCGUGAGCGAUGAAGGCCUUCGGGUCGUAAAGCUCUGUCCUCAAGGAAGAUAAUGACGGUACUUGAGGAGGAAGCCCCGGCUAACUACGUG